rnacentral:lncRNA from 1 species
GGAAGCUGAGGCUUUUGGCCCUUCCCUGCACUUUUACCUGGACACGCCAGAGUCCUGGGGCUGCUGCUGCCUGCCUGGGCAGUGGGUCUGGAGACCCGGCCUUAUAUCUAGGCAGCCACCCUGUGCAGAGCCCGAGAGAGUCACACGGUGUGGCCUGGCUGGUCUCAUCUUCCUAGAGCUGCCAAGAGGAAGAAGGCAAAGAGCUUUCACCAUCCUGCCUUGACUGCAAAGGUGGAUACUUCAGAGCCAGCGGACUCCCCAGAAGGACCCUGCUGAUGUCUUGGGCACAUCUCCAGAGAGGCACAGGCCCCCACCACAGCUCCUCAGCCGGC